GACUGAGUUCCCGGCGCGAAAAUUAAAGUACGGAACUAAGCAUGUAGAUACGGGAGGGGAGCAUUUGCGGACGCGGGUUCGACUCCCGCCGCCUCCACCA
rnacentral:tRNA from 1 species